rfam:Aphanomyces astaci strain APO3 cont1.3181, whole genome shotgun sequence.
GGAGGAAUAGCUCAGAUGGUAGAGCAUCGGUUUCUUAACUCAAAGGUUUUGGGUUCGAUCCCUGGCUUCCCCG